rnacentral:rRNA from 1 species
ACAGAGGUCUCAAGCGUUGUUCGGAUUCAUUGGGCGUAAAGGGUGCGUAGGCGGCCCGUUAAGUCAGUGGUGAAAGCCUCCAGCUCAACUGGAGAACUGCCAUUGAUACUGACGGGCUUGAGUACAGACGAGGUUGGCGGAAUUGAUAGUGUAGCGGUGAAAUGCAUAGAUACUAUCAAGAACUCCGAUUGCGUAGGCAGCUAACUAGGCUGUAACUGACGCUGAGGCACGAAAGCGUGGGGAGCGAACAGGA